AGGGUUUGAUUCGGCUCAGGAUGAACGCUGGCGGCGUGCUUAGCACAUGCAAGUCGAGCGAAGCGAUUUAAGUGAAGUUUUCGGAUGGAUCUUAAAUUGACUGAGCGGCGGACGGGUGAGUAACGCGUGGAUAACCUGCCUCACACAGGGGGAUAACAGUUAGAAAUGACUGCUAAUACCGCAUAAGACCACAGCACCGCAUGGUGCAGGGGUAAAAACUCCGGUGGUACAGGAUGGACCCGCGUCUGAUUAGCUGGUUGGUGAGGUAACGGCUCACCAAGGCGACGAUCAGUAGCCGGCUUGAGAGAGUGAACGGCCACAUUGGGACUGAGACACGGCCCAA
rnacentral:rRNA from 1 species